AUGGAGGCUCCCCCCUCCCUUGCAGGUGCCGCUCAAGAACCACUCUCUCCAAGAUGUUUUCCUGGAUUUCCUCAGCCUAAAAUAAUCCCUCUUUUUCCUGGUUGUCUGGAACCCAAUCCACAACAUCUUCAAGACUAUACAGGAAGCAUGGUGCUGGCAUCUGCUCAGAUUCUGUGGAGGCCUCAGGAAACUCAAUCACAGCAGAAGGUGAAGGGGAAGCAGGCAUGUCUUAUAUGGCUGGAGCAGGAGGAAGAGGGGAGGGAACUCCAGGAGCAUGUGAGGAAUAACUGCCCAGAGAAACCUGUUCAAAUCCCAGGGUCUGAGGCUUUUAUGUGUAGAGGAACAGCUCUGUCAUGGCAACCUGGCAACACAGACCACACAGACAAAGACUUGACCUGCAGUUUAUCUGAAUCUUGGCAGAACUUGUGA
rnacentral:lncRNA from 1 species